rnacentral:rRNA from 1 species
UACGGGGGGGGCAGGCGUUGUUCGGAAUUACUGGGCGUAAAGGGCUCGUAGGCGGCCAACUAAGUCGGACGUGAAAUCCCCAGGCUCAACCUGGGAACUGCGUCUGAUACUGGAUGGCUUGAAUCCGGGAGAGGGAUGCAGAAUUCCAGGUGUAGCGGUGAAAUGCGUAGAUAUCUGGAGGAAUACCGGUGGCGAAGGCGGCAUCCUGGACCGGCAUUGACGCUGAGGAGCGAAAGCCAGGGGAGCAAACGGG